UACGGAGGGUGCAAGCGUUAUCCGGAUUUAUUGGGUUUAAAGGGUCCGUAGGCGGGCCGAUAAGUCAGUGGUGAAAUCUCGCAGCUUAACUGUGAAACUGCCAUUGAUACUGUCGGUCUUGAGUAAAUUUGAAGUGGCUGGAAUAAGUAGUGUAGCGGUGAAAUGCAUAGAUAUUACUUAGAACACCAAUUGCGAAGGCAGGUCACUAAGAUUUAACUGACGCUGAGGGACGAAAGCGUGGGGAGCGAAC
rnacentral:rRNA from 1 species